rnacentral:rRNA from 1 species
AUACGGAGGGUGCAAGCGUUGUCCGGAUUUAUUGGGUUUAAAGGGUGUGUAGGCGGUGUAUUAAGUCAGUGGUGAAAGCCUGCGGCUCAACCGUAGAACUGCCAUUGAUACUGACACACUUGAGUAUGGACGAGGUAGGCGGAAUUUAUGGUGUAGCGGUGAAAUGCAUAGAUAACAUAAAGAACACCGAUAGCGAAGGCAGCUUACUAGGCCAUAACUGACGCUGAGGCACGAAAGCGUGGGGAGCGAACAGGAUUAGAAACCCCAGUAGUCC